rnacentral:rRNA from 1 species
UACGUAGGGUGCAAGCGUUGUCCGGAAUUAUUGGGCGUAAAGAGCUCGUAGGCGGUUUGUCGCGUCGGCUGUGAAAACCUGGGGCUCAACCCCGGGCCUGCAGCCGAUACGGGCAAACUAGAAUUCGGUAGGGGAGACGUGGAAUUCCUGGUGUAGCGGUGAAAUGCGCAGAUAUCAGGAGGAACACCGGUGGCGAAGGCGGGUCUCUGGGCCGAUAUUGACGCUGAGGAGCGAAAGCGUGGGGAGCAAACAGG